UUGGUUAGGUAAUGGCUUACCAAGCCGUUGAUCGGUACGGGUUGUGAGAGCAAGAGCCCGGAGAUGGAACCUGAGACAAGGUUCCAGGCCCUACGGGGUGCAGCAGGCGCGAAACCUCCGCAAUGUGAGAAAUCGCGACGGGGGGAUCCCAAGUGCCAUUCUUAACGGGAUGGCUUUUCAUUAGUGUAAAGAGCUUUUGGAAUAAGAGCUGGGCAAGACCGGUGCCAGCCGCCGCGGUAACACCGGCAGCUCUAGUGGUAACAAUUUUUAUUGGGCCUAAAGCGUCCGUAGCCGGUUUAAUAAGUCUCUGGUGAAAUCCUGUAGCUUAACUGUGGGAAUUGCUGGAGAUACUAUUAGACUUGGGACCGGGAGAGGUUAGAGGUACUCCCAGGGUAGAGGUGAAAUUCUGUAAUCCUGGGAGGACCGCCUGUUGCGAAGGCGUCUAACUGGAACGGUUCUGACGGUGAGGGACGAAAGUUAGGGGCGCGAACCGGAUUAGAUACCCGGGUAGUCCUAACUGUAAACGAUGCGGACUUGGUGUUGGGGUGGCUUUGAGCUGCUCCAGUG
rnacentral:rRNA from 1 species